rnacentral:rRNA from 1 species
UACGUAGGGUGCAAGCGUUGUCCGGAAUUAUUGGGCGUAAAGAGCUCGUAGGCGGUCUGUCACGUCGGCUGUGAAAACCCGAGGCUCAACCUCGGGCCUGCAGUCGAUACGGGCAAACUAGAGUACUGCAGGGGAGACUGGAAUUCCUGGUGUAGCGGUGAAAUGCGCAGAUAUCAGGAGGAACGCCGGUGGCGAAGGCGGGUCUCUGGGCAGUAACUGACGC